AUCACUUCUCGGCCUUUUGGCGAAGAUCAAGUGUAGUAUCUGUUGUUAUUAGCAUAAUAUUGUAUAUGCAACCAAUAGUCAAUACAAGGUUGGUUGUAUCUGAUACGAACCAACAUUGAGUU
ensembl:snRNA U2 U2 spliceosomal RNA